ensembl:snoRNA small nucleolar RNA, H/ACA box 77B
GCAGACAAUACUCUGUUCUCUGCUGCUCACUCCAGCCUGGAACUUUUUAUGUCUGCUAAAUUAACAUGCAGAAUGUAACAACUCGCUGGCCUACUGUGAGGCUAAUGUCGGUAUGUUCUGGCACACUUAG